rnacentral:rRNA from 1 species
GCAAGUCGAACGGUAACAGGAAAUAGCUUGCUAUUUUGCUGACGAGUGGCGCACGGGUGCGUAACGCGUAUACAAUCUACCUUUUGCUGAGGGAUAGCCCAGAGACAUUUGUAUUAAUACCUCAUGGUAUUAUUGAUAGGCAUCUAUUAAUAAUUAUAGGUUACGGCAAAAGAGGAGUAUGCGUCCCAUUAGCUAGUUGGCGAGGUAACGGCUCACCAAGGCAACGAUGGGUAGGGGGCCUGAGAGGGAGAGC